rnacentral:rRNA from 1 species
GACGAACGCUGGCGGCGUGCCUAAUACAUGCAAGUCGAGCGAACAGAUGAGAAGCUUGCUUCUCUGAUGUUAGCGGCGGACGGGUGAGUAACACGUGGGUAACCUACCUAUAAGACUAGGAUAACUCCGGGAAACCGGGGCUAAUACCGGAUAAUAUUUUGAACCGCAUGGUUCGAUAGUGAAAGACGGUUUCGGCCGUCACUUAUAGAUGGACCCGCGCCGUAUUAGCUAGUUGGUAAGGUAACGGCUUACCAAGGCGACGAUACGUAGCCGACCUGAGAGGGUGAUCGGCACACUGGAACUGAGACACGGUCCAGACUCCUACGGGAGGCAGCAGUAGGGAAUCUUCCGCAAUGGGCGAAAGCCUGACGGAGCAACGCCGCGUGAGUGAUGAAGGUCUUCGGAUCGUAAAACUCUGUUGUUAGGGAAGAACAAAUUUGUUAGUAACUGAACAAGUCUUGACGGUACCUAACCAGAAAGCCACGGCUAACUACGUGCCAGCAGCCGCAGUAA